AGUAGUUUGAUCUGGCUCAGACGAAGCUGCGGCGUGCCUAACACCAUAGCAAAGUCGAACGAAAGGACUUGAAUUCUAGAUUUCUUUCGGAAUGAGAAUGAUAUGACUGAGUGGCGACGGGUGAGUAACGCGUGAGCAACCUGCCCUUCGAGGGGGAGUAGUGUCUGGAAAGGACAGUAAUACCGCAUAACGAUUUUUACCGCAUGAUAGAAAUACCAAAACUGAGGUGCCGAAGGAUGGGCUCGCGUUGGAUUAGAUAGUUGUGGGGUAACGGCCUACCAAGUCAACGAUCCAUAGCCGGACUGAGAGGUUGAACGGCCACAUUGGGACUGAGACACGGCCCAGACUCCUACGGGAGGCAGCAGUGGGGAAUAUUGCACAAUGGGGGAAACCCUGGUGCAGCAACGCCGCGUGAAGGAAGACGGUUUUCGGAUUGUAAACUUCUGUUCUUAGUGAAGAAAAAUGACGGUAGCUAAGGAGCAAGCCACGGCUAACUACGUG
rnacentral:rRNA from 1 species